rnacentral:rRNA from 1 species
CGCGUAGGCGGUCGCGCAAGUCGGACGUGAAAUCCCUCGGCUCAACCGAGGAACUGCGUCCGAAACUGCACGACUUGAGUCCCGGAGAGGGUAGCGGAAUUCCCAGUGUAGCGGUGAAAUGCGUAGAUAUUGGGAGGAACACCUGUGGCGAAGGCGGCUACCUGGACGGGUACUGACGCUGAGGCGCGAAAGCUAGGGGAGCAAAAC